rnacentral:rRNA from 1 species
AUUGAACGCUGGCGGCAUGCUUUACACAUGCAAGUCGAACGGUAACAGGCCGCAAGGUGCUGACGAGUGGCGCACGGGUGAGUAAUGCAUCGGAACGUGCCCAGUCGUGGGGGAUAACUACUCGAAAGAGUAGCUAAUACCGCAUACGAUCUAUGGAUGAAAGCGGGGGACCGUAAGGCCUCGCGCGAUUGGAGCGGCCGAUGUCAGAUUAGGUAGUUGGUGGGGUAAAGGCUCACCAAGCCAACGAUCUGUAGCUGGUCUGAGAGGACGACCAGCCACACUGGGACUGAGACACGGCCCAGACUCCUACGGGAGGCAGCAGUGGGGAAUUUUGGACAAUGGGCGCAAGCCUGAUCCAGCAAUGCCGCGUGCAGGAAGAAGGCCUUCGGGUUGUAAACUGCUUUUGUACGGAACGAAACGGCCCUGGUUAAUACCCGGGGCUAAUGACGGUACCGUAAGAAUAAGCACCGGCUAACUACGUG